rnacentral:rRNA from 1 species
UACGAGGGGGGCGAGCGUUGUUCGGAAUUAUUGGGCGUAAAGGGUGCGUAGGCGGUUUGGUAAGUCUCGUGUGAAAUCUCCGGGCUCAACUCGGAGCCUGCACGAGAAACUGCCGGGCUUGAGUGUGGGAGAGGUGAGUGGAAUUCCUGGUGUAGCGGUGAAAUGCGCAGAUAUCAGGAGGAACACCGGUGGCGAAGGCGGGUCUCUGGGCCGUAACUGACGCUGAGGAGCGAAAGCGUGGGGAGCGAACAGG